rnacentral:rRNA from 1 species
UACGUAGGUGGCGAGCGUUGUCCGGAUUUACUGGGCGUAAAGAGCGCGCAGGCGGUCGUGCAAGUCGCGUGUGAAAGCCCCCCGGCUCAACUGGGGAGGGUCACGCGAUACUGCUCGACUCGAAGGCAGGAGAGGGUAGUGGAAUUCCCGGUGUAGUGGUGAAAUGCGUAGAUAUCGGGAGGAACACCAGUGGCGAAGGCGACUACCUGGCCUGUUCUUGACGCUGAGGCGCGAAAGCUAGGGGAGCAAACAGG